UACGAAGGGGGCUAGCGUUGCUCGGAAUCACUGGGCGUAAAGCGCACGUAGGCGGAUUGCUAAGUCAGGGGUGAAAUCCUGGAGCUCAACUCCAGAACUGCCUUUGAUACUGGCGAUCUCGAGUCCGGGAGAGGUGAGUGGAACUGCGAGUGUAGAGGUGAAAUCCGUAGAUAUUCGCAAGAACACCAGUGGCGAAGGCGGCUCACUGGCCCGGUACUGACGCUGAGGUGCGAAAGCGUGGGGAGCAAACAGG
rnacentral:rRNA from 1 species